CACAAGUAUGAGACGGUUCUCAGCUUUUGGUCUUCUCUUCAUGGUUUUGUUCUCUGUUACAGUUUCAUACUCUGACCCAGGAUCUGAGCAAAAAUGGAAAAAACAUCCAGAUCAAACACUAUGGAAUUUGUUGAAGUAACAAACAACGGCAAGAGAAAGUUUCCAGAAAACAAGGAUUUGUUUGAGUCAGAUUGACUUAACUCUUUAAGAUUCUUUCUUCAUUUGAUGUGCAACCACUUCAUUAAUUUUAAUGUAAUUUCUGUUGGUUUGGGUUAUUUUUAAAUAUAUGCAAUGUAAACACAUCUGUAAUGUGAGAUCAUAUACAAUGGAAAAAGAAGAGUCAAAUGUCAAAUCUUCUUGUCUGGCAUGUGUCAGGACUAGUAUACAAGAAACUGGAUUUAGACAAGAAAUAAUAAUUUAUAUAGCAUGAGAAUUGAGUGCUGAUUGAUUUGACCAAUGUUCUCAUGGAUGUGCAGUUAAGACCAUUUGAUAUACAAACAGGAAUAGGACAUUCGGCCCAUCAUAUCUGCUCAGUCAUUUGAUCAUGGCCAAUGUGGUUCUCAACCCCAUUCUCCUGCCUUGUCCCCAUAACCACUUGGUCCCCUUACCAAUCAAGAGCCUAUCUGUGUCUGUCUUAAGUACCCUCAAUAUUUUAACUGUGAAGCCGCACUGUCAGACCAGGCAGGUAGAUUCAGAUUAGCCAAGUGUUGUUGUGGGAAUUCAGCAGAGAUUGGCAGUCUCAAGACCUCAUCAGAAACAGGGCACACUGCUUUAAUAUAUGUCGCUUCUAGUGUGCACAAAUGCAUCAUGCUGCAAAGACGUAUGCUGCAUCGUUUUCAUUGAGAAACAUGUCAAUCAGAAAGGCAGGUUUAAAAAGAUAAUUUAUUUUUGUUUUCUUUUUUUGUGCAGGUGUAAGACACAGUGA